rnacentral:rRNA from 1 species
GAUGAACGCUGGCGGCGUGCCUAAUACAUGCAAGUCGAGCGAAUGGAUUAAGAGCUUGCUCUUAUGAAGUUAGCGGCGGACGGGUGAGUAACACGUGGGUAACCUGCCCAUAAGACUGGGAUAACUCCGGGAAACCGGGGCUAAUACCGGAUAAUAUUUUGAACUGCAUGGUUCAAAAUUGAAAGGCGGCUUCGGCUGUCACUUAUGGAUGGACCCGCGUCGCAUUAGCUAGUUGGUGAGGUAACGGCUCACCAAGGCAACGAUGCGUAGCCGACGUGAGAGGGGGAUCGGCCACACUCGGACUGAGACACGGCCCAGACUCCUACGGGAGGCAGCAGUAGGGAAUCUUCCGCAAUGGACGAAAGUCUGACGGAGCAACGCCGCGUGAGUGAUGAAGGCUUUCGGGUCGUAAAACUCUGUUGUUAGGGAAGAACAAGUGCUAGUUGAAUAAGCUGGCACCUUGACGGUACCUAACCAGAAAGCCACGGCUAACUACGUGCCAGCAGCCGCAGUAA